rnacentral:rRNA from 1 species
UACGAAGGGUGCUAGCGUUGCUCGGAAUCACUGGGCGUAAAGCGCACGUAGGCGGCUUCUUAAGUCAGGGGUGAAAUCCUGGAGCUCAACUCCAGAACUGCCUUUGAUACUGAGGAGCUUGAGUCCGGGAGAGGUGAGUGGAACUGCGAGUGUAGAGGUGAAAUUCGUAGAUAUUCGCAAGAACACCAGUGGCGAAGGCGGCUCACUGGCCCGGUACUGACGCUGAGGUGCGAAAGCGUGGGGAGCAAACAGG